rnacentral:rRNA from 1 species
UACGAAGGGGGCUAGCGUUGUUCGGAAUUACUGGGCGUAAAGCGCGUGUAGGCGGGUCUUUAAGUCAGGGGUGAAACGCCAAGGCUCAACCUUGGAACUGCCUUUGAUACUGGAGAUCUUGAGUCCGGGAGAGGUGAGUGGAACUGCGAGUGUAGAGGUGAAAUUCGUAGAUAUUCGCAAGAACACCAGUGGCGAAGGCGGCUCACUGGCCCGGAACUGACGCUGAGACGCGAAAGCGUGGGGAGCAAACAGG